UACGUAGGAGGCAAGCGUUGUCCGGAAUUACUGGGCGUAAAGCGCGUGUAGGUGGUGGGACAAGUCUGCUGUGAAAGCGCCUGGCUUAACCGGGCGAGGUCGGCGGAAACUGUCCGACUCGAGGACGGUAGAGGGGGGUGGAAUUCCCGGGUGUAGUGGUGAAAUGCGUAGAGAUCGGGAGGAACACCUGUGGCGAAGGCGGCCCCCUGGGCCGGCCCUGACA
rnacentral:rRNA from 1 species